rnacentral:rRNA from 1 species
UGAGUAACACGUAUGCAACCUGCCUGCCACAGCCGGAUAAUCGGGAGAAAUUCCGUCUAAUACGGCAUAAUGCAUCGACGGGACAUCCUGUUGGUGCCAAAGGUUGAUUCCGGGUGGCGGAUGGGCAUGCGUCGCAUUAGUUAGUUGGCGGUGUAACGGACCACCAAGACGACGAUGCGUAGGGGUUCUGAGAGGAAGGUCCCCCACACUGGUACUGAGACACGGACCAGACUCCUACGGAAGGCAGCAG